rnacentral:rRNA from 1 species
AGAGUUUGAUCCUGGCUCAGGACGAACGCUGGCGGCGCGCCUAACACAUGCAAGUCGAACGAGAGAUGAGGAGCUUGCUCUUCAGAUCGAGUGGCGAACGGGUGAGUAACGCGUGAGGAACCUGCCUCAAAGAGGGGGACAACAGUUGGAAACGACUGCUAAUACCGCAUAAGCCCACGGCUCGGCAUCGAGCAGAGGGAAAAGGAGCAAUCCGCUUUGAGAUGGCCUCGCGUCCGAUUAGCUAGUUGGUGAGGUAACGGCCCACCAAGGCGACGAUCGGUAGCCGGACUGAGAGGUUGAACGGCCACAUUGGGACUGAGACACGGCCCAGACUCCUACGGGAGGCAGCAGUGGGGAAUAUUGCACAAUGGGGGAAACCCUGAUGCAGCGACGCCGCGUGGAGGAAGAAGGUCUUCGGAUUGUAAACUCCUGUUGUUGAGGAAGAUAAUGACGGUACUCAACAAGGAAGUGACGGCUAACUACGUGCCAGCAGCCGCGGUAAAACGUAGGUCACAAGCGUUGUCCGGAAUUACUGGGUGUAAAGGGAGCGCAGGCGGGAGAACAAGUUGGAAGUGAAAUCCAUGGGCUCAACCCAUGAACUGCUUUCAAAACUGUUUUUCUUGAGUAGUGCAGAGGUAGGCGGAAUUCCCGGUGUAGCGGUGGAAUGCGUAGAUAUCGGGAGGAACACCAGUGGCGAAGGCGGCCUACUGGGCACCAACUGACGCUGAGGCUCGAAAGUGUGGGUAGCAAACAGGAUUAGAUACCCUGGUAGUCCACACCGUAAACGAUGAUUACUAGGUGUUGGAGGAUUGACCCCUUCAGUGCCGCAGUUAACACAAUAAGUAAUCCACCUGGGGAGUACGACCGCAAGGUUGAAACUCAAAGGAAUUGACGGGGGCC